UACGAAGGGGGCUAGCGUUGCUCGGAAUCACUGGGCGUAAAGCGCACGUAGGCGGAUUGUUAAGUCAGGGGUGAAAUCCUGGAGCUCAACUCCAGAACUGCCUUUGAUACUGGCGAUCUCGAGUCCGGGAGAGGUGAGUGGAACUGCGAGUGUAGAGGUGAAAUUCGUAGAUAUCGCAAGAACACCAGUGGCGAAGGCGGCUCACUGGCC
rnacentral:rRNA from 1 species